rnacentral:rRNA from 1 species
AGUACAGACGAGUUUGAUCAUGGCUCAGAGCGAACGCUGGCGGCAGGCCUAACACAUGCAAGUCGAGCGCCCCAGCGAUGGGGAGCGGCGGACGGGUGAGUAACGCGUGGGAACGUGCCUCUUGCUACGGAAUAGCCUCGGGAAACUGGGAGUAAUACCGUAUGUGCCCUACGGGGGAAAGAUUUAUCGGCAAGAGAUCGGCCCGCGUUGGAUUAGGUAGUUGGUGGGGUAAUGGCCUACCAAGCCGACGAUCCAUAGCUGGUUUGAGAGGAUGAUCAGCCACACUGGGACUGAGACACGGCCCAGACUCCUACGGGAGGCAGCAGUGGGGAAUCUUAGACAAUGGGCGCAAGCCUGAUCUAGCCAUGCCGCGUGAGCGAUGAAGGCCUUAGGGUUGUAAAGCUCUUUCAGUGGGGAAGAUAAUGACUGUACCCACAGAAGAAGCCCCGGCUAACUCCGUG